GCAAUGGAUAACGCGUCUGACUACGGAUCAGAAGAUUGUAGGUUCGACUCCUGCCUGGCUCGCUUCGUUUUGGCGCUCCGUGUCGCCGCUCGGCCCUGCAGCCGCGUGGUGCCCAGCGGACUGCGGAACGGCUGCUGAGCCCUCGGCCGUCUCCUCCGGGUAGGCAGCAAAACCGUCCCUGCUUGUGUGGGGUUAGGAGCACAGCACCGUUUAGCACUACUGAAAAAAGAACAAAAACCUUUUUUUUUCCCACUUAAAUACACAACGCGGCUGCCAGUGAGUGCGCUAUAGGGUCUGAGAAACAGCACUCCGCUGGGCGCGCAAAGGCAGUAAGAAACGAGGAGAUCUGGCUAAAAGAAGCCAGCACUACGUGUGCGCCUAAGGGAGAGAAAAAAAAGCACGAGCCAGGCAGGAGUCGAACCUACAAUCUUCUGAUCCGUAGUCAGACGCGUUAUCCAUUGCGCCACUGGCCCGCCAUGCUUUCUGUGUGUCCUCACUACAACCAAGAGCCCGCCAUCUCUAGACGCCUGGGCUGCCGCCUUCCUCCUUCACUACCGCCUCAGUGCAGCCUCGGCACGCGCCGCACCUCCUCGCGCUCCCGCCAACCCCUGCCCCGCGGCACCGCGAGCGCAGGCUCCGGCCGGGUCCAUCGGCCGAAUGCGGGUCCAUUACGCAUGCGCCGUUGAGGCGCGGCUUAGUACGUUGAUCCACUGUGCUGGAGAACAAAUCGCUAAGUCCCUUCGAUAGCUCAGCUGGUAGAGCGGAGGACUGUAGUGGCGCUCCCUGCGGGAAUCCUUAGGUCGCUGGUUCGAUUCCGGCUCGAAGGAGACGGCGAUAUAUUUUUCUUCCCUCACAGUAUGUGAGGUCGGACGCUGUUCUUCCUACACCACAGUUAUAACCGCCACUGCCGAAAAGGUACUUCUAUUUUACUCUUUAAGCAGCUGCCGGUUCUUUGUUUUUCUCCAACAGACUGUAAACCCAGCCUCUCAAGGGCAUGCUGUGAUGCUCUGACCAUCGGCAGCCCUGGGAAACCAGACGCUUUUACUCACUGCAGUUGACCACAAACCGUCCCAAAGCAAGUCAGAGCUUGCUCUGAGAGCACCUGUUGGGACUGCCCCGGUUAAUCAGGACGUUGAAGUUCCGAGGACUUUUCUCAGAACCUCCUCUCCCCCAAACAUCCUGACUCUGUUUUUCCAGCCCAGUGAAGCACCUGGGUGUUUCCA
rnacentral:tRNA from 1 species